AGUCCCCGGGGCGUCCCGGGGAAACUUGGACGUAUUGCCUUGGGCUCUCAGCAGAUGAUCCUCUAGGCACCGCAGCCCGCAGCUCUGGCAGAUGAGACCAUGACCCACGUGUUGGCAGGAGGCCAGAGACAAGAGGACCCAGAGAGGUUUGGCUACCAUCGAACACACAGCCAGCCAGGGCUGAGAUGGCAAUUCACCCUGACCCUGCUCUUCACUGCCUCUUGGUAACCCUGUGCUCCCUCAAACCCCGCCUCUUCCCGCUUCUUCCGUUCUUGCUGUGGACUCUCCUGAGCUGUGAUUUGAGGGGUGCUGCCCAGUAGGGUCCGGGAGAGUGGACGCCCUGGGGGUCUUGGAGCAGGUGUUCCAGCUCUUGUGGUCGGGGCGUCUCAGUGCGCAGACGCCAAUGUGUCCGACUUCCCGGAGAGGAACUUUGUUGGGGCGACAGCCAUGAAUACCGGGUGUGCCAGCUGCCGGACUGCCCUCCAGGGACCACACCAUUCCGAGACCUGCAGUGUUCUCUCUACAAUGGCCACCCUGUCCUGGACACCCAGAAAACCUACCAGUGGGUGCCCUUCCACGGGGCGCCCAAUGUGUGUGACCUCAACUGCCUAGCUGAAGGCCACGCCUUCUACCACAGCUUUGGCCGCGUGCUGGAUGGCACCCCCUGCACCCCGGGUACCCAGGGUCUCUGCGUGGCAGGCCGCUGUCUGAGCGCAGGCUGUGACGGGAUACUGGGCUCCGGCACCCUCGAGGACCGCUGCGGCCUCUGUGGUGGCGCUAACGACUCUUGCCUGUUCGUGCAGCGCGUGUUCCGCGACGCCGGUGACUGUCCCAUUCUGACUCACCACCAGCGCUUGAGAAACACAGUGGAGAGGGGUGUCCCUUUAACAAGUUUGGCUCCUGGGAGCCAAGGCUCUUGUUGAUUGGGCUUCCCCUGAUUGGCCUCUGACAGAGCGUCCCACCCUCCCUCGAAUAGAUGCGCUUUUAACCCCUUUCCUGCCUCCCCUCAGUAUCAUCUCAUUUAUCCGCAGCUAUCGGUCCCUGAGCACAGUAUCGCACCCAAAGUGUACCUUGCCGCUGCGAGCCCCAGAGCAUCCCUCCCCUGCGCACCCCAGAGCGUCCCUCGCCUGUGUACCCCAGAGCAUCCCUCCCCUGCGCAACCCAGAGCGUCCCUCGCCUGUGUACCCCAGAGUAUCCCUGCUCUGCGUACUCCAGAGCAUACUUCCCCUGUGUACCCCAGUGCGUCCCAGUUCAUCCCACCACAACGCACCCCUGCACACACCAGCGCAUCCCAGAAAAUCCUGCCGCGCUACACCGCAACCCUCCGCCUGCCUCAGGUGCCUUCGCCGGCUUCUGGAAUGUGACUUUGAUCCCCGAGGGCGCCAGGCACAUCCGCGUAGCACAGCGCAGCCACAACCACCUGGCGCUGGUUACCCGCGGCGGGCACUACGUGCUCAACGGUGAUGGGGUGCUCAGCCCGCCUGGCACCUACGAGGCUGCGGGCACCCGAGUGGUUUACACCCGGAGUGCGGGCCCAGAGGAGACUCUGCAGGCGACCGGCCCCACCUCCCAGGAGCUGCUGUUACAGGUGCUGCUGCGGGAGCCCAACCCAGGCGUACACUUCGAGUUCUGGCUGCCCCGGGAGCGCUAUGGCCCCUUUCAGGCUCAGGUGCAGGCCCUGGGCUGGCCCUUGCGACAGCCUCAGCCUCGGGAGGUGGAGCCACAGCCUGCAGAGACUCCUGUAGUCCCCGAGGCCAUCCCUGCCCGUGUUGCAUCCCUGCCACCAGACCCCUGCGGGCCAUGCCCCGACAGCCGUGGUCGCGCACACCGGCUUCUUCACUACUGUGGCAGCGACUUUGUGUUCCAGGCCCGUGUGCUGGGCCGCCACCGCCAGGCCCAGGAGACCCGCUACGAAGUGCGGGUCUUGCUCAUCUACAAAAGCCGCACGCCUCUGCGUACUCGAGAAUAUGUAUGGGCACCAGGCCACUGUCCGUGCCCACCACUGGCCCCACACCGAGAAUACCUGUUGGCUGCCAGGCGACUCGUAAGCCCUGAUGGCACGCAGGAUCGGCUACUGCUGCCUCACGCUGGCUAUGCUCGACUCUGGAGUCCCGCGGAGGACAGCAGAGUUCGGCUGGCUGCCCGGCGCUGUCCAGUCUAAACCCCUGGAGGUUGGAUCCUCAGCAGGGCUCCUGUUCUGGCGUCCCAUGACUCAGGAAAACCUCCCACCUGGAAGCUCAUAUAUUUUAACCAGGGUCUCCCUGACUGGCCUGGAACUCUGUGUAGACCAGGCUAACCUUGAAGUUAUGGUAAUCCACCUGCCUCUGUCUCUGCAGUGAGUGCUGGGAUUAAAGGUGCACUCCAUAUCUGAGAACUUUAAGGAGCUUCAAGAUCCUGGGCUACUUUUCCGCGAAACAACUUUCUGUUCAUCUCUUUUCAAGUUACUAUUUAAUUUUUACAAGAACGUGGAAAAAGAACAAAUCCCUCGCCCCUCACUUCCUGAGCUAUAGGGACUCCAGGACACCCUAGAAGAGUGGCAGGCAUUGUGCACAGACACACCCCCAUUCCCAUCUUUUCCUAAUCUGCCCGGACACCCAGUACAGACUAGCACAGGAAGUACGAGAGGUUUGGGCACACACAGGAACCGAUGUGCCUCCUCCUCAGUCCUCUAGGCUAUGGGUUCAUUUCCGCUGUAUAUCAUGGGUGUCUGUCCUACAGUCGCUCAGCAAAUCAUCCCCAGUGGGGUGUUCCUUAAGGCUAUCCCUUCUGAGUCCUGAAUCUGUCACGUGGUCUAACCAGUUGCCCCACCCUUCUGCCUCACAUCUGCUUCUGCUUCACACCCUUCUCACAUCUGCUAGCUCUGUCUGUGAACCACUUAGCUCUCCAAUGACUAUUUACUGAAUACCGACUGUAUGUGAAAGACCCAGCGAGUCCUGGGGAGAUGCCGUGCUGUGCCGGGAUAAGCAGGGGUCACUCUGUCUAACGGGCUUUCGAAGGUAGUCCCCCCAAACUCCACACAAUGUAGGUCCGUUCUACAGGGAUUUGUGGAUUCCUUGCGCCCCCUGGUGGCUGGACAUGGAUUCCCAGUUUGGGAGAUGGCCUACAAGUUGGCCUGCGGCAGCAAGCAGGCUUCAGGAACCUCACACAACUACAAUGGCUGGCCAAUGUGACACAAGAGACCAGGACAGAGUCAUCCCUGACAGGGUCCCUGUGCUGAGCCUGAUGCACCCGGCAGGAAGAGUAGCAGAAACAUGGCAGAAAGGCACACGAUGCUGGUCGCACUAUGGUGAGGCUGUUGGGCUCCCCUAAGCCUGGAGCUGUCCCAUGAGGCCCGGACAUGUUAAGAUUCAAUCUGAAGGGGAAAUAAAAAACCACGAGAAGACAGCUGCUGCCCCAGGCCUGUGAUCCCAGCACUUGGGAGCAGAAGCAGGAGGACCAUCACAAGUUCAGGGAAAUUUAAGGCUGCCCGUUUCAAAAUAAAAGGAAGGCCUGAG